AGAGGAUUAGUCUAAAAAAGACAGCUAAUUUCGGCUUAGCAAAUUCAGGUUCUAAUCCGGAAUCCCCGA
rnacentral:tRNA from 1 species